UAAAAUUGGGUCACUUUAGGUCUUCUAUUAAUUACUAUGGGUUAAUUUGGUCUUCCUUAAAAUUAAUGGGUCCAAUUGAGUCAAUUUUAAAAGAGGAAGUAUGUUUUAUGUUUACGGGUCAAUUGAAGUAAAAAGGAACGGGUACACGGUUUAGGAAAGCUUACUGUGUCCUAGGGUUUUUUCUUAGAGCUUGAACUUCAGUGAACAUCAUCAUCAUCAGCGAUUCAGCGAGCGACGGCAUCUUCAUCCUCUCCAGCCUCCGCCGUCUCCUCCGCCACAAACCCGCCACCGUCUCCGCGUCUCUGUCGUCUCCUCCGCCACAAACCCCCACCCUCCGCCGGCAUCUUCAUCAACGACGGGAUCUUCAUCAGCGACGGCAUCUUUUCCGGAAGUAGGAACUUGGUUUUAAAAGUGUGCUUGAGGCGCGAAGUGCGCACGUGGCAAGGCGAUCUGGAAAGCGCCUUAGGGUUUGAGCUUUGAAGCGGCGCCUCAUGUACAUCUAGGUCAAAAUUGGUGAAACUUAGGGUCUGUAAGGAGGCUGGUGUAUGUAAGGGAUAAAGAAACUUUGAUAGGUUUACUUGAUGAAAAGGAUGGUAUGUAAAAGAGAUGAAACUUCUGGUUGUACAUAGAGCAACGAGUUGUACAAAGUAGGUACAUUAUUCGAAGGUUACCAACCCGGACCCGUUUUAACCCGACAAAAUUGCCCCUUGAUGUACAAUCACUUAAAAAAAACAUUUUUUUAUCCAACCCGACCCGAAACCCGCUCUGACCCGAACCCGUUCCAACCCGAACCCGUUCCAACCCGAACCCAAUUUGACCCGAACCCGUUUUGACCCAUGACCCAACCCGACCCUACCCAACCCGUUUGCCAGGUCUAGGGCAGGGCAGUAUCUGGAUCAUGUACUCUGCCAUACACGACAUCGAUGAAGAACCAAACGUUAAAGAUGGGGAACGGAUGCUUCUGCGUUGUGUAUGUCUACCGAUGAUAAUAGGUGUUACAAGUGGAGUAGACUACUUUCAUACUUACGUUAAUACAGCGGCGACAAAGGAACCAGUAGCGGCGACAGGCCGUCGCCGGUAAAAGUGUUUCCGUAAAUAGCCUAUACAGCGCCAUUUCUUCCCUCCUCCUUCACUUUUUCCCCCAAACUCUUCAUCUUACCGCCGGAGAACCGCCUUUUUUCACCAAAUCGAAAAUUCGGAUCACCACCAUCACCUCUCCGGUCACCACCAUCACUUCUCCGGUCACCACCUCGUCUCCGCGGUCUAUAUCUACUUGAAAGCUUGAAAUUACGGGAUUAUGUUUUCGGUAUUGCUGAUAUUCGCUUAUUUGAUGGCGGAUGUGGCCCCCUGGGGACAUGGGGGUGACGGUGCCGGUGAUCCACCGCUUCCUCCUGGUGGGAUUCGUGGCACACACGAGACAGACGCAGUUCCCCAAAGAAGGUUAGGGGGAAAGCUAAAAACGAGAAACUACGACGUCUAGUAAAAGCGGGGGGGGGGGGGGGGGGGGGGGGUCUGUGUCGCUUACGUUUGAUCGACAGGUCACGUUUACCCCUGUUGGUAAAUCAAGAGACAUGUUUUCAAGGGAGGCCGGCCUGUAUAUGUGGCGACCGUCCCGUUUGAUAAAAUGGGAUGGGAUAAUGUUGAACAACAUUACAAGGAUGCCGUCAUGAACCACUUACGGGAAAAUUUCAAUCUUGAUGAAGUGGAACGUGAUUAUGAGGCGAAAAACUUGAAGGGUGGUAUGAGGACUGUGCUUAUGAAGCGGUACUCUGACCGCAACAUGAAGCUAGACAAUUAUUUGAUAGCCAGGGAGGUUACGAUGAUCUUGAGAUGGCAAGGGCAUACCAUCCCGUGGAUAUGCCCUAUGAAAACUGGUUGAGAACCAUUGAAGGUUUCCGGCAAGAAAAAUAUAUUAAAAAAAAGCAAGGCCUGUAAGCAAGUACGCGAGAAACAAUUCCCAUACCGUGGGGGGACAUCUUCGUACGGUAGCACCGCCUAGAAAAAUGUAAUGUUUUAUGUAUGUGUGCGUGUGUGUAAGCUUUUGUUUAUUUAAUGUCUAAUCUAGGUGUAAUGUUAAACAAAAUUUGGAUUGUGUACCUACGUAUGCUAAAACCCACACGGACAAUCAAGGGAAUUGGGUUGAUCCGGUUGCUGAACAAAAUUACCGGAACAUACAACAGGCCACAGAUGAAUGGAGCGGCGAUGGUCCUCCAAUUGCCCCGUAUCAAGAAGCGUUGGGAGAGCGGCGAGGAUGGUAUCGCGGGAUGGGGCCUAAACCUUCUUCCAACACGUCCUCAAACAUGUCGUCUUCGCAAGCUCGGACGCAAGAACCCUUUUCCGAGGAUUUUGUUAACAGCUUGUUCCAAACUCCGUCAUUUUUGAGCCAACUUAACAACUAUCUUGCUUCACAAGGGAAAGGAAAAGGAAAGUCAAAUGACUACGAUUCUGACGACUUAUACGAUAGAGAAUCCGAGGAAGAUUGACUUGUUUUAAUGUAUGAUUUUGAUUUAUUAAACGUUGUAGGAUUAUAAUGUACGACUAAAACGUAGUUUGCGUAUGUUUGUGUUGUUUUAAUUAUAUUACCUUUAGUAUA